UUGAAACAAGGUAUAUUGCUUCUGUUCUGUGAAGCUUCCUUCGCCAUGCUCAGAACGAUCUGGUAAUAAAAUGGAACUAGGCCUCUGCUCCAUUUUGACAGUUACUCAAUGAGGAGUCA
rnacentral:lncRNA from 1 species